rnacentral:rRNA from 1 species
CCUACGGGAGGCUGCAGUGGGGAAUAUUGGGCAAUGGGCGCAAGCCUGACCCAGCAACGCCGCGUGAAGGAAGAAGGCUUUCGGGUUGUAAACUUCUUUUCUCAGGGACGAAGCAAGUGACGGUACAUGAGGAAUAAGCCACGGCUAACUACGUGCCAGCAGCCGCGGUAAUACGUAGGCGGCAAGCGUUAGCCGGAUUUACUGGGUGUAAAGGGCGAGUAGGCGGGACUGCAAGUCAGGAGUGAAAGCCCGUGGCGCAACCCCGGGACUGCUUUGGAAACUGCCAUUCUGGAGUGCUGGAGAGGUAGGCGGAAUUCCUGGUGUAGCGGUGAAAUGCGUAUAUAUUAGGAGGAACACCAGUGGCGAAGGCGGCUUGCUGGACAGUAACUGACGUUGAGGCGCGAAAGCGUGGGGAGCAAACAGGAUUAGAUACCCCUGUAGUC